AAAAAAGAAAGAAAGAAAGAAAAAAGUUAGCUCCUCCUUUUUCUCCUCCAUCUCCCUCUUUCCUUCUCUCUCACUGGGAAAGUUAACUGCACUCUGCCACGUCAAGCUUACGAGUUGCCGCUGUGCCACCCGGUAGGAACGAGACGAUGCGCUCUGUUCUCUGUCUUCUUUCCAAAUCAGAACGCAUCGAUGCCGCGUUUUCAAGGGAAAAUCUCAGGAAUUCAAUGCUGGGACCAACCUCAAGGCCUGGAGACAGACCCAAACUUGUAUAACUUGUAUAAUUCCUAACUUUUACGGCCUGGCGGUCUGACUUCAAGUGGCACCGGCUGAAACGUCUCAGUCUGACUGGAGAGGGGAAGACGCACAGGAAGGGACGGGGAUGGGUGAAGCGUGAAGAGAAACAUCUGUGCUGAAUCCAGACAGUGUUGCACUCAAUAAGAGUCCUGAGAGGAGGGAAAUCCCGGAGCGUUUGGAACGAGAGGCAGGACUGAGCGCCGAAAGCAGCACUUCACCACCAAGAGCCACGGAUUCUCACUUAAAUGGUAACACACACAGAUUUCUAUAAUCUCUGGACAAACCAGACGUCCUGCAUGCGAGCGAUCGUGAGUGUGCGUGUGUGCAAAUGGGAACUGAAUGCAGCAAGAAAGCUGAAACAGAGAGGACAUUGACCUGUCCCGCCUGCCCAGUGUUCAGACUACCUGUUCAGGAAGUAGCGGUUGUACAGUAGUCUGCACAUUGGUUAGGCUGGGUGGGGAAGCGCGAGAGUCGGCCUUCGUCAUCACUGACGACGCAAACCUUCCUCCAAUCCGCAACUUCUGUAUAUGUUCUGUAUAAUUUUUAAAUAAAAUCCAUCAGAUUCCACUUGAAA